GGGGCUGGGGAUUGCGUAUUAACCGUCAACACAAGUAAUAGCAAGUAGUAGUAAGUAAUACAAGUGGCGUAUGUCAUGUAAGAUAAAUUUUGUUGCGGAAUUUCAACGUUAUGUAAACUUGUAUUGUUGUGCUUUACUUUUUAUGUACGAAUUGUCGUAAAAAAAACCUUAAUCUUCCAAGUCGAACGAGACAUCUUAUGCGGUUCUACGAGUGCAUCCUACGGUCGUACUACUAAAGAACACAUUCGAAUUAGCAGAAUAGGCAGACGCAGGAGCGGACGAAGAAAAAGUAGACGAUCCAAAGGCGAAAUGACACGUCCUCCAAAUAAUGACAACCUUAUGACCUUCAAAUUGGUUGUUGUUGGAGAUGGAGGUGUUGGCAAGAGCGCUCUUACAAUACAGUUUUUUCAAAAGCUUUUUGUUGCAGACUAUGAUCCAACUAUCGAGGAUAGUUAUAUUCAACAUACAGAGGUAGACAAACAAUGGUGCAUCUUGGAUGUGUUAGAUACAGCCGGUCAAGAAGAAUUUAGUGCGAUGCGUGAACAAUAUAUGCGAAAAGGUGAUGGAUUUCUUUUAGUAUAUUCUGUAACCGAUAAACAAUCGUAUCAAAAUAUUGCCAAUUUUCAUACUCAAAUUCUACGAGUAAAAGAUAGAGAUAUUUAUCCUAUGCUACUGGUGGCUAACAAAGUCGAUUUGGUACAUUUGAGAAAAGUCACAGAGGAACAGGGAAGAGAAUUGGCUCAUCGUUUGGGCAUACCUUAUAUUGAGACUUCUGCCAAAGACCCACCACUAAAUGUUGAUGCAGCAUUUCAUGAGGUUGUUCGCAUUAUCAGAAAUCAACCCCCGACCGAAUUGGAGAAAAACCAAAAAAAGCGACGGCGUUUGAAAAAGUGCAACAUUUUAUAAAUUUUAAAGACAAAUUACGCAAGUGCGAAAACCAAGGACCAUGGUGCUGCAUCGUAAUUGUGCAAUGCCUUUGCUUUUAAAAGAAAUGUGUGCCAAUGAAGAAAAGGCUCUGAUUCCAAUGCUACAAAAACAAAAUUACAUUCUUUAAAUCUAAUUUAAGAUUUAUUUAUAACGAGAUUUGUAGCAAAAAAUAAGGGUAAUUGUUUAAUUUAUGGGACACCGCGCCGAUGAUCUUGACCUUGACAUAUGUUGUCAAGGACAUGACCCUGAGUAACUUUUUCUUAUAACUUAACCGGCGGUUAUUGUUCGUUAAAAAGUUAUUAACAAAAGAAGUUAGAAAAAUAUCCAUGUAGAACAGAACAACACACACACACAUUGAGGGGGAGGGGUGCAUAAAGCACGCAUUUUUGGGUGUUUUAAAAUAAGAAAAUCUGUUAAUUUAUUAUUAUCCUAAUCUAAAUCCUGUAAAGGAAUAUGGUAAAUCUUAACAAAAGGGGACCCAGUCCCAAUAAAUAAUAAAUUUAUUAUAAAAAUAAAGCACACAUUUAUGCGUGCUUUAAAAUAAGAAAGUCUAUUAAUUUAUUAUUAUCUUAAUCUUUUAUGUAAAGUUGCAAAUCUAUGUGGUGUUGUAAAGAACGCGUGGCGGGGUGCAAGGGCAGGUCUUUGCCCUCCCCCUACAUCUCCACAUUAAUUUUUAUAAAGCACGUAUAAAUUAAUAGAUUUUCUUAUUUUAACCCUCGGAGAACACACCUAUUUUUUCGAUCACGAAGAACACUGUGGAUCAAUUUGACCCUACACACACUUUGAUCCACCAUUUUAAAUUGACGAGUGCGAUCAGCUUGAAAAAAUUUCUAGAUUUACUUGGAACAUUGUUAAAUCAAUUAAUAUAAAUUAAAAGUGCUGUUGGAAUUAUUUACAUAUUUAAAAAAAAUUCACUUUUUUUUUUUUUUAAACGUUAUUUUCCGAAAAAUUGUAUUUUUUAAUUUUUUAAAUAUUUCUGACUAAAAAUUUACGUGUGUAUUCUUGAAAUGUAGUAGAAUCAAGAAAAAAAUUGUACUUUAAUGUACUUAAAAAAAAAGGUAUUUAUUUUGUUAGGUAAUGAAAGUGGUUUUUAAGGUAAAAAAAAUCAAACAUUUUUAUGAAAAAAUUUUAAAAAAAUUUAUUUCUUAUUACAUAUAUGUGAAUACUUUAUUAUUUAAGUGACUUGUGGUAAAAGUUAAUUUAUUUAUUGUCGGCGACGGCUUUACUAUAAUCUAAAUACGACGUGUCAGUGUUUGACUGUACUGACACAUUAUUCACUUCAGAAGAACUGUUGCCAUCGAAAUAUUCUUGCUCGACAGGUACUAAGGCAUUCUGAAUACGUGGCCGCAAACUAUAUGCCAUCGUGCUCACUAUUGAAAAACCGACGCUUAGUACACAACGGUCAGAAUGACCCUGCACCGACUUUGUAUAAUGCCCAACACCUAUUAGGUGUUGCGCUGUACAAAAGGAGCAUCUUAACAUAUAGUUAAUACCCCAAACUAUAGGUAGAAGGUUUCAGAUCCGCCAAUUUUCAAAAUGCUUUCAAGAUAUUUACGUUAAGAUCAAAUUCGAGGUAAGGGUCAAAUUGACCCUAUGUGUUCUCCGAAGGUUAAAAAAUUCAAAAAUGCGUGCUUUAUAAAAGUUAAUACAGAGAUGUAGGGAGAAGGUGAAGUCUAUAACUUAAUUGUUAUUGAAGCAUUGCCCCUCCCUAAAAACAUUUCUACAUUCCUAUUUCUAUAGUAGUUUUUGUUGAUUGCUAAUGAAAAAAAUUGAUUUUUUGCAUUAAUAGCUAUUAUAGACAUUUACUCUCAACAAAAUACGUACCGUACUUUUGUGCACUUCUACCCAGGACAUCCCUACCGAUAGAUGGGUGCGGGAAGGAGGGGCGAAGCCUCCCCUCCACGUGUGUAUGUGCGUGCGUGCGUGCGUGCGUGCGUGCGUGUUCUGUUCUACAUGGAUAUUUUUCAAAUUCUUUUGUUAAUAACUUUUUAACGAACGAUGACCUCCGAUUAAGUUAUAAGGAAAAGUUGUCAAGGUCAAGGUAAUUGGCUUCUAAACUACAUAAUUACUAAAAUAAGCGUUAGAGCCAUUGACUCUCCAUUCUUUUCAUGAUAAAUACAGAUCACAUUUCCAAUCAAAUGUGCGCGUACACAUUAAAUUUUCUACUAUCAAGAAGGUUACAUACACAGAUACACACACGCGCGCACACGCACACGCACGCACAAUGUAUAUAUAUGAAAUUAAUAUGUGUAUAUGUAGAUGAAAUUAAGUAAUUUUUUUCGCACAAUAAUAUUAGAAGUUUUUUUACUUCUUCGCGAAAAUGAAAAAAGUCGCUGUCAUAAAAUGACUAUAAUUAUUUCAUCGAAAUCGUGUUCACCUUUCGAAUAACUAAUUAUAACUUUAAAUGGUUUUAUUUUAUUACGUUAUUGUUUUCUUUUCUUUUAUAAAUAAAAUAUUCUUUUUACAACAAAUUUUAUCAAACUUUUUUAGGGUUGAGUACAUUUAAUGUAUUUUAUUGUAUUUCACAAUCAUCGAAUCUUCCGGAUUUAUAUUAGGAAUAUAAUUAGGACAAUUAUUAGUUAUUUACGUAAUUAAUAAUAAUAAAAAUAAAGCAGUA
rnacentral:misc_RNA from 1 species